rnacentral:rRNA from 1 species
UGGGGAAUUUUGGACAAUGGGCGAAAGCCUGAUCCAGCAAUGCCGCGUGUGUGAAGAAGGCCUUCGGGUUGUAAAGCACUUUUGUCCGGAAAGAAAUCCUUGGCUCUAAUACAGUCGGGGGAUGACGGUACCGGAAGAAUAAGCACCGGCUAACUACGUGCCAGCAGCCGCGGUAAUACGUAGGGUGCAAGCGUUAAUCGGAAUUACUGGGCGUAAAGCGUGCGCAGGCGGUUUGCUAAGACCGAUGUGAAAUCCCCGGGCUCAACCUGGGAACUGCAUUGGUGACUGGCAGGCUAGAGUAUGGCAGAGGGGGGUAGAAUUCCACGUGUAGCAGUGAAAUGCGUAGAGAUGUGGAGGAAUACCGAUGGCGAAGGCAGCCCCCUGGGCCAAUACUGACGCUCAUGCACGAAAGCGUGGGGAGCAAAACAGGAUUAGAUACCCUGGUAGUCCACGCCCUAAAACGAUGUCAACUAGUUGUUGGGGAUUCAUUUCCUUAGUAACGCAGCUAACGCGUGAAGUUGACCGCCUGGGGAGUACGGUCGCAAGAUUAAAACUCAAAGGAAUUGACGGGGUCAUAGCUG